rnacentral:rRNA from 1 species
UACGUAGGGCGCGAGCGUUGUCCGGAUUUAUUGGGCGUAAAGAGCUCGUAGGCGGUUCGAUAAGUCGGACGUGAAAUCUCCACGCUCAACGUGGAGGGGCCGUUCGAUACUGUCGUGACUCGAGUCCGGUAGGGGAGUGUGGAAUUCCCGGUGUAGCGGUGAAAUGCGCAGAGAUCGGGAGGAACACCCGUAGCGAAGGCGGCACUCUGGGCCGGUACUGACGCUGAGGAGCGAAAGCGUGGGGAGCAAACAGG